GUAGGUGGCAAGCGUUGUCCGGAAUUAUUGGGCGUAAAGCGCGCGCAGGUGGUUCUUUAAGUCUGAUGUGAAAGCCCCCGGCUCAACCGGGGAGGGUCAUUGGAAACUGGGGAACUUGAGUGCAGGAGAGGAAAGUGGAAUUCCACGUGUAGCGGUGAAAUGCGUAGAUAUGUGGAGGAACACCAGUGGCGAAGGCGACUUUCUGGCCUGUAACUGACACUGAGGCGCGAAAGCGUGGUGAGCAAACAGGGAUUAGAUACCCUGGUAGUCCACGCCGUAAACGAUGAGUGCUAAGUGUUGGGGGGGUUUCCCGCCCCUCAGUGCUGCAGCUAACGCAUUAAGCACUCCGCCUGGGGAUACGGUCGCAAGACUG
rnacentral:rRNA from 1 species